rnacentral:rRNA from 1 species
AAUCAACGCUGGCGGCGUGCCUAACACAUGCAAGUCGAACGAUUAAAGCCCUUUCGGGGGUGUAUAGAGUGGCGUACGGGUGAGUAACACGUGGGUAAUCUACCUUUGGGUGGGGAAUAACUCAGGGAAACUUGAGCUAAUACCGCAUAAUGCAGCGGCUCGACAUCGAGACAGUUGUUAAAGCAGCAAUGCGCCUAAAGAGGAGCCUGCGCCUGAUUAGGUAGUUGGCGGAGUAAUAGCCCACCAAGCCAUCGAUCAGUAGCUGGUCUGAGAGGAUGAUCAGCCACACUGGGACUGAGACACGGCCCAGACUCCUACGGGAGGCAGCAGUGAGGAAUUUUGCACAAUGGGGGAAACCCUGAUGCAGCGACGCCGCGUGAAGGAUGAAGGAGCUAUGCUUCGUAAACUUCUGUCGGAAGGGAAAAAAGACUCGAUCUUCGGGCGUGGGAUUGUACCUU